AACGAACGCUGGCGGCAGGCCUAACACAUGCAAGUCGAGCGAAGCCUUCGGGCUUAGCGGCGGACGGGUGAGUAACGCGUGGGAACGUGCCCUUUGGUACGGAAUAGCCCCGGGAAACUGGGAGUAAUACCGUAUGUGGUCGAGAGACGAAAGAUUUAUCGCCAAAGGAUCGGCCCGCGUUGGAUUAGGUAGUUGGUGGGGUAAUGGCCUACCAAGCCGACGAUCCAUAGCUGGUUUGAGAGGAUGAUCAGCCACACUGGGACUGAGACACGGCCCAGACUCCUACGGGAGGCAGCAGUGGGGAAUCUUAGACAAUGGGCGCAAGCCUGAUCUAGCCAUGCCGCGUGAGCGAUGAAGGCCUUAGGGUUGUAAAGCUCUUUCAGGUGGGAAGAUAAUGACUGUACCACCAGAAGAAGCCCCGGCUAACUCCGUGCCAGCCGCCGCCGUAAAAC
rnacentral:rRNA from 1 species